rnacentral:rRNA from 1 species
CGCAUCUGUGCAUGCAGCAUAUCAAUAAGCGGAGGAAAAGAAACUAACAAGGAUUCCCUUAGUAACGGCGAGUGAAGCGGGAAGAGCUCAAAUUUGAAAUCUUCAAGGUUUUACCUUGACGAAUUGUAGUUUAAAGAAGUGUUUUCUGUUGGAGUUUUGGUAAAAGUUCUUUGGAAUAGGACAUCAUAGAGGGUGAGAAUCCCGUAUUUGACCAUUAUUUUCAGCUGUGUGAUACACUUUCAAAGAGUCGGAUUGUUUGGGAAUGCAGUCCAAAAUGGGUGGUAAAUUUCAUCUAAAGCUAAAUAUUGGCGAGAGACCGAUAGCGAACAAGUACCGUGAGGGAAAGAUGAAAAGAACUUUGAAAAGAGAGUUAAACAGUACGUGAAAUUGUCAAAAGGGAAGCGUUUGACACCAGUGUUGUUUUCUCGAAAAUCAAUUAAAAAGAGUUUAGAUUUUGUUGUGUAUUGACCUUAACAGCUUGCAUUUCAAUUUUCUUGCUUUUUUUAAUGCACUUUUCGUUUAACAAGUCAACAUCAGUUUCUUUUGUUGUAAAAAGGUCAUUGGAAGGUGGCUUUCUUUUCGGAGAAAGUGUUUAUAGCCUUUGACUCCUGCAAUCGGAGAGACUGAGGUCUGCAGCGUAGAUCCUUCGGGGUUAGAUACAUUUGUGCUAAGUUAUAGCUUUUUAUAGACAACUUGUUGACUAUGAUUAGUCUUGUAGCUUACUCGCUUAUGCUAUUUUACCUACGCUUAGGAUGUUGAACUCUAUCACACACAG